GACGAACGCUGGCGGCGUGCUUAACACAUGCAAGUCGAACGGAAAGGCCCUGCUUUUGUGGGGUGCUCGAGUGGCGAACGGGUGAGUAACACGUGAGUAACCUGCCCUUGACUUUGGGAUAACUUCAGGAAACUGGGGCUAAUACCGGAUAGGAGCUCCUGCUGCAUGGUGGGGGUUGGAAAGUUUCGGCGGUUGGGGAUGGACUCGCGGCUUAUCAGCUUGUUGGUGGGGUAGUGGCUUACCAAGGCUUUGACGGGUAGCCGGCCUGAGAGGGUGACCGGCCACAUUGGGACUGAGAUACGGCCCAGACUCCUACGGGAGGCAGCAGUGGGGAAUAUUGCACAAUGGGCGGAAGCCUGAUGCAGCAGCGCCGCGUGCGGGAUGACGGCCUUCGGGUUGUAAACCGCUUUCGCCGGUGACGAAGCGUGAGUGACGGUAAUGGGUAAAGAAGCACCGGCUAACUACGUG
rnacentral:rRNA from 1 species